rnacentral:tRNA from 1 species
UGAUAAUUAGUUUAAUAAUAAAAUUAAUGGUUUCGACCCAUUAGACUAUGAAUACAUAUCAUAAUUAUCAA